rnacentral:rRNA from 1 species
UACGUAGGGGGCAAGCGUUGUCCGGGUUUAUUGGGCGUAAAGAGCGUGUAGGCGGCCACACAGGUCUGCUGUGAAAACUCGAGGCUCAACCUCGAGCUGUCGGUGGAAACCGUGUGGCUAGAGUCCGGAAGAGGAGAGUGGAAUUCCCGGUGUAGCGGUGAAAUGCGCAGAUAUCGGGAAGAACACCCGUGGCGAAGGCGGCUCUCUGGGACGGUACUGACGCUGAGACGCGAAAGCGUGGGGAGCGAACAGG